UCCCUCCUGAAGCUAUGAGCACAGGUAAAGAGGACAGGACCUUCCCUGAAUAGGAGGACCUGUCUUUGGUCAAGGGCAUAUAUAUGCGGAGCUGCACUCCCCUGCUAGAACCUCCAAGCAAGCUCUCAAAAUCCAUGCUGAAGGCUGGAGAGC
rnacentral:sRNA from 1 species